UUCUUCUUCAAGCAAAAAGGCCUCUUACUAGUGACCCAAUUGAAGUCUAGCUUUCCAUAGUUGGUUUCUUCUUCAGAUCCCAGGGCCUGUAGGGCCAGCUGGAGCUUCUUGCGAUGCAGUGAAUGUUUGAUGCCAAGCUCCUGAAACAAUAAACAGAACCUUAGAAUUCUAGUCGUCGUCGGUGCUAGAUCUACCAACAAAGAAUAUAGAUCCCUCACAAUGAAGCUUCCCUUCAAGACCAGCCCUGAAUUAAGUUAGAACACUACUUCUCUACUGAAUUAUAGUAUGAACCUCAGGCCAAUGCAGCAUUGCUGAAGUGAAGGCCCAAGUCUACCACAAUGGACUGAGUGAAAUGUUAGACACUGCCUAGGGAUUCAUCUUAUUUUGUGUAGAGGCAGAACGGGAACAGUUACCUUCUCUAGGUCUUGCUGAGAAGCCUGCAAAAGCGUCUGGCCAGAUAUAAUCCAGUGCUUGCCAGAACUCAGGUAGGACCCCAAGCCUUGCUCUGCCAGCCAGCUGCACACCUGCUCCUUGGUCCAUUUGGCAAACGGCAUAUCCAGGUCACUAUGGGAAAUGAGAAACAGCCCUAAGCCAGUCCUGCAGUUUAUAGUCAAUGCUAAGCAACUGCAUACACAAUAGAUAUGGAAAUUCCCUGGCAACACUUAACCAAGAAAAACCUAAUUUUUCAAUUCAAGGUUGGAAAGAUAGUUUCUAAAAUCCCUGUUUUCAAUUCAAAAGAAACUGAAGGACCAACAGGAGCUACUGAGAAAACACUCUACAGAAAAACACAAAGAUGAGCUAUGUAAGAUACAUUUUCCACAUUCAAAAAAACUGCCCAAAGAGCAGACUUCCCAAACUGAAAAUACUGCUCGGCUGAAAGAAAUUCAAGUACACUAUGAAUUCAUUUCGGUAGAAUUAUGGUUUCUCUGUAGCAGAGAACCAAUCACUGAGAAGACAAUGCGCUCCUGCUAAGUACAGGAAGGAACGCUCCAAGUGAGGUUUCUGUUUUCUUUUACUUACACAGCUUUGUUGCUUGAAAAAGACUCACAGUGACAUGGCUAAACUUUUUAAAAAUUAUUAAUUUUACAUUAUGUGUGUGUAUGACAAAAACUUUUUUAAUAGCACAAGAGAGUUCUUUAUUGUACUUAAGAAGACAUAUGGCAAGUGAGAGCAUCUGUUAUCUGAAGCCCGUGUCCAGGGCUCCACCUGUGUGAGAGUCUGCAUUUCCAGCUGAUUAUUCUUUAAAAGGCCCUGCAUCAACACCUUGCUCUGCAUGUUUGCCAACCCCGCCCAAUGCUCAGGAGGAAAUAGGGGUGAGGUCCCACUGUGGUGAGAGGAAGUGAAUCAAAGCAUGAAGGUCACCUGGAUGGUGGACAUGGAACUGGACAGCAAGAAGUCUGACUCCAGAACAUAAUUCUUAUUUUUCCCCCUUCCACUUCUCAGUGCUGGAGUUGGGGUCAGGACCCCAUGUUUGCCAUACAAGAUCUCUGCUGCAACUUAAGAAUUCUCCUUUGGGUCUACAAAUCAGUGAUUUCCAGAAAGUUCCCUGAAGGAUAAACAUAGUUGAUGAGAAGGUCAAAGGGAUGACUGACUGACUCUCCACCAUCUGCUGCCCACAGGAACUGAAAGUCUACACACACAACACAGUCAGUAUCUACAUCUUUUUCUUUUCUUUUCUUUUUUUUAAAGAUUUAUUUAUUAUUAUAC